AGCUAGCUGGAUGAAUGUUUAACUUCUAGGCCAGGCACUACUCUGUCCCAACAAUAAGCCCUGUACAUUGGGAAAGGUGCCGAGACAUGAACUUUGGUCUUCUCUGCAAUCCAUCUGGAGCAUUCACUGACAACAUCGACUUUGAAGUUGCACUGACCUGGCCAGCCCUGCCACUUACCAGGUUGGGCUGUGGCUUGCCUUUUCACUUCUUGUGUCCUGUUUAAGAAAUAUCUGCUAUCCCAAGAUUGCAAACUCCUAGAGAAGGGCUCAACAGUGAGUGCUGAGGCUGCACAGAGGAGGAAGGCAGCACAAUGAUGGAAGGCUUCCUAAAGAGAUAACACUAACAAAGUUGACCUUAGAAUUGGAGUGCCUGGGUUAGAACCCUGCUGGUACCACCUGCUUACUGCAUGCUUCUGAUGUGAGUUCAGGAGAAGACACUGGCAAGGACAGCAAAGAACAGGAGAACACUCUAGCUUCCCUGAUAGCAUUCAAGGUGCUGUCCAAAGCUCUUGAGUUUCUGCUUUCAAGUGACCCUCAGAAAUUCCUCCAUUCACUGCAGAGGUUCUGUUUCUCCUUGCUUUGUUCUGACUUUACGGCAGAACUAAGCUAAUGAGUUAGUUACUAUGGGUUAUCACUUGGAUUUGAAGAACCAUCAUUUCUAGGCAUUGCUGCUCAGAGUGGGUCUGCCCUCAGGGGAAGCUGUCUAACCAGAGCCUAACCCACUAGGGUUUUAUCAGAACCUAACUGACCUGAGGAAAAGAAAUACUCAACUCCAGCAAGCUCCAGCCUUCCAAAUGGAGGAGGAGAAAACCCAACUCCAGCCCACUUCAGCUAUCUUGUCCCACAUAAAGGGGAAGUGGAAGAAACCUGAGAAGCAGGCAUGAAGUUCACAGUCCAGAGAUGACAUGAUUUUCUAUGCAAAAAA
rnacentral:lncRNA from 1 species